UCGUAAGUCCUCUCUCUCUCUCGCUUGCUCUCUGAGACACCGCGCUCGGCGGGACUCACCUCGCCGCCCGCCUGCUCUGCCCUG
rnacentral:miRNA from 1 species